GCCCCGCAAGGGGAGCGGCAGACGGGUGAGUAACGCGUGGGAAUCUACCCAUCUCUACGGAACAACUCCGGGAAACUGGAGCUAAUACCGUAUACGUCCUUUUGGAGAAAGAUUUAUCGGAGAUGGAUGAGCCCGCGUUGGAUUAGCUAGUUGGUGGGGUAAUGGCCUACCAAGGCGACGAUCCAUAGCUGGUCUGAGAGGAUGAUCAGCCACAUUGGGACUGAGACACGGCCCAAACUCCUACGGGAGGCAGCAGUGGGGAAUAUUGGACAAUGGGCGCAAGCCUGAUCCAGCCAUGCCGCGUGAGUGAUGAAGGCCCUAGGGUUGUAAAGCUCUUUCAACGGUGAAGAUAAUGACGGUAACCGUAGAAGAAGCCCCGGCUAACUUCGUGCCAGCAGCCGCGGUAAUACGAAGGGGGCUAGCGUUGUUCGGAAUUACUGGGCGUAAAGCGCACGUAGGCGGAUAUUUAAGUCAGGGGUGAAAUCCCGGGGCUCAACCCCGGAACUGCCUUUGAUACUGGGUAUCUCGAGUCCGAGAGAGGUGAGUGGAAUUCCGAGUGUAGAGGUGAAAUUCGUAGAUAUUCGGAGGAACACCAGUGGCGAAGGCGGCUCACUGGCUCGGUACUGACGCUGAGGUGCGAAAGCGUGGGGAGCAAACAGGAUUAGAUACCCUGGUAGUCCACGCCGUAAACGAUGGAAGCUAGCCGUUGGCAAGUUUACUUGUCGGUGGCGCAGCUAACGCAUUAAGCUUCCCGCCCUGGGGAGUACGGUCGCAAGAUUAAAACUCAAAGGAUUUGACGGGGGCCCCGCACAAGCGG
rnacentral:rRNA from 1 species